ACGCGAAAGUCCCGCAAGGGAUCAGUAGAGUGGCAAACGGGUGAGUAACACGUGGGUGACCUGCCUUCGAGUGGGGGAUAACGUCCCGAAAGGGACGCUAAUACCGCAUAACAUCCUGCCUUUGAAGAGGUGGAGAUCAAAGCUGGGGAUCGCAAGACCUAGCGCUCAAAGAGGGGCCCGCGCCUGAUUAGCUAGUUGGUGAGGUAAUGGCCCACCAAGGCUACGAUCAGUAUCCGGCCUGAGAGGGCGGACGGACACACUGGGACUGAGACACGGCCCAGACUCCUACGGGAGGCAGCAGUGGGGAAUUGUUCGCAAUGGGCGCAAGCCUGACGACGCAACGCCGCGUGGAGGAUGAAGACCUUCGGGUCGUAAACUCCUUUCGAUCGAGACGAAUGGCUUCCGGGUGAACAAUCCGGAAGAGUGACGGUACCGAGAGAAGAAGCCCCGGCUAACUCCGUGCCAGCAGCCGCGGUAAUACGGGGGGGGCAAGCGUUGUUCGGAAUUACUGGGCGUAAAGGGCUCGUAGGCGGCCAACUAAGUCAGACGUGAAAUCCCUCGGCUUAACCGGGGAACUGCGUCUGAUACUGGAUGGCUUGAGAUUGGGAGAGGGAUGCGGAAUUCCAGGUGUAGCGGUGAAAUGCGUAGAUAUCUGGAGGAACACCGGUGGCGA
rnacentral:rRNA from 1 species